GCGUGAUUUCAGGGCGGUGUGAUGGGCUGUGAAAACCGGGUUUUCUGAACUCAUAACCCGAAGGUCGUCAGUUCAAAUCUGGCCCCCGCA
rnacentral:tRNA from 2 species